rnacentral:rRNA from 1 species
GAUGAACGCUAGCUACAGGCUUAACACAUGCCAGUCGAGGGGAAACGACAUCGAAAGCUUGCUUUUGAUGGGCGUCGACCGGCGCACGGGUGAGUAACGCGUAUCCAACCUGCCCACCACUUGGGGAUAACCUUGCGAAAGUAAGACUAAUACCCAAUGACGUCUCUAGAAGACAUCUGAAAGAGAUUAAAGAUUUAUCGGUGAUGGAUGGGGAUGCGUCUGAUUAGCUUGUUGGCGGGGUAACGGCCCACCAAGGCGACGAUCAGUAGGGGUUCUGAGAGGAAGGUCCCCCACAUUGGAACUGAGACACGGUCCAAACGCCUACGGGAGGCAGCAGUGAGGAAUAUUGGUCAAUGGACGAGAGUCUGAACCAGCCAAGUAGCGUGCAGGAGGACGGCCCUAUGGGUUGUAAACUGCUUUUAUAAGGGAAUAAAGUGAGUCUCGUGAGACUUUUUGCAUGUACCUUAUGAAUAAGGACCGGCUAAUUCCGUG